UCGCACUCCACCCUCCUGCUGCCGUCAGGUGGGAGAAGCCCCGCCCCACAGCCAGGUGACGGACACAUCAGUCCUCCAAUGGCCAGCAGACACUCCUCGGCCCCGUACCGCUGGUACCGCCCAUACUGCAGAGAGACAGCCCCUCCCCCUCACCUGCACAGGGCAGCGAGUAUCCGAUGACGGGAUGAUGGACGAAGCGCCGCUCACUGAGCCGAGCCUCACAGUAACCACGGAAACAGUCCAGACAGAUCACAUGACGCUCCAAACAUGGGAAGACCACGACCACGUCCCUGAGGAACACACACGAUUAAUCAACCAAUCAUUGCAGCCCUUGACCAAGCUCCACCCCCUUACCGUCUCGUUGCCGUGACAACCUUCUGAUUGACAGAUGCCAUGGAUACGACCCUGAAGGAGGACGUCGUCCCAACAGGACGGACCCUGGAGACAGAAGGUCAAAAUACUGCAUAUAGUACUACUACUGCAGUACUGAUACUAAUACUACAUAUAGUACUGCUACUGCAGUACUCCAUCUAAAAACUACAUAUAGUACUACUAGUACAGUACUGAUACUAAUACUAUAUAUAGUACUACUACUGCAGUACUGAUACUAAUACUACAUAUAGUACUGCUACUGCAGUACUGAUACUAAUACUACAUAUACUACUACUACUGCAGUACUGAUACUAAUACUAGAUAUAGUACUACUACUGCAGUACUGAUACUAAUACUACAUAUAGUACUACUACUACAGUACUGGAACUAAUACUACAUAUAGUACUACUUCUGCAGUACUGGAACUAAUACUACAUAUAGUACUACUACUGCAGUUCUGAUACUAAUACUACAUAUAGUACUACUAUUGCAGUACUGAUACUAAUACUACAUAUGUACUACUACUGCAGUACUGGAACUAAUACUACAUAUAGUACUACUACUGCAGUACUGGAACUAAUACUACAUAUAGUCCUACUAUUGCAGUACUGAUACUAAUACUACAUAUGUACUACUACUGCAGUACUGGAACUAAUACUACAUAUAGUACUACUACUGCAGUACUGGAACUAAUACUACAUAUAGUACUACUACUGCAGUUCUGAUACUAAUACUACAUAUAGUACUACUAUUGCAGUACUGAUACUAAUACUACAUAUGUACUACUACUGCAGUACUGGAACUAAUACUACAUAUAGUACUACUACUGCAGUACUGGAACUAAUACUACAUAUAGUACUACUACUGCAGUUCUGAUACUUAUACUACAUAUAGUACUACUAUUGCAGUACUGAUACUAAUACUAGAUAUAGUACUACUACUAGAUAUAGUACUACUACUGCAGUACUGGAACUAAUACUAGAUAUAGUACUACUACUAGAUAUAGUACUACUACUGCAGUACUGAUACUAAUACUACAUAUAGUACUACUAUUGCAGUACUGAUACUAAUACUACAUAUGUACUACUACUGCAGUACUGGAACUAAUACUAGAUAUAGUACUACUACUGCAGUACUGAUACUAAUACUACAUAUAGUACUACUACUGCAGUACUGAUACUAAUACUACAUAUGUACUACUACUGCAGUACUGGAAGUAAUACUAGAUAUAGUACUACUACUGCAGUACUCUCACCCUGCUCAGCAUCAUGGUCGUCUGUCUGCAGCUUUGGCAGCGAACUCUCAAUUUUCCAGGUUGGACCGACCUGCAGCUCUUACAGUACACGUAGAAAGUACUGCAGGUACGCACACCUGGAAUGACAGUAUACACCUGUUCACAUAGAGUACCAACAGAGUACACAAAUACUGCCCCCUACAGUUUGACUGUCUCACCUGCAGCAGUUACCUGUUGCCAGGUGUAGGAUGACCUGGCUGCUACUGACGUUUAACUCUUUGAAAUGUCUUCAGUAUAAACACCUGUAUACACCUGUACACACCUGUGUAAUAUUUUUUUCUCAGGACCCACAUUAAAUGCUUCUAUGAACUACAUGCAGAAGUUCUCUUCAGUUUCUUCUCAUCUCCAGAAGUCCAGCCUGAAGGUGUCUCACCUGAGGGUGACUCACCUGCAGCCUCCUGCCUCCCCUCCAGAACCUCAGCCAGGCCAGGUGAGGAGGGAGAGGAGGGGGGGAGGUGGGAGGAGCCGAGGUCCGGUCGGGUCAGAUGGUUCUGCUGGAGCUGAGAGGAGGAACCAGCGGGAGGUAGAACCACGUGGACGGUGCUCUGCUCCGGGAGGUCGCAGCUCUGGGAGGGGAGCACCAUGAUUAGGUCACACCUAUCGUUAGGCUCAACCCUCACCUGCUGUGAAGCUCCGCCCUCACCUGCAGCGUGGAGGAGUUCUGCAGCUCCGUCCCAGCAAACAGAACCCGGAGCUGCUCGGGUCGGACCCCCUGCUGACUCCCCACCAGCUCCUUCAGCUCGGCCACGCUGGACUCCUCCUGCAGCUCCACGGCCACACCUGGGCCCAGGUUGUACCGCACGAACACUGGACAGGUGAGGGACAGGUCAAGGACAGGUGAAGGACCAGUGAGAGACAGGCGAAGGACAGGUGAGGGACAGUUGAGGGACAGGUGAAGGACCAGUGAGAGACAGGCGAAGGACAGGUGAGGGACAGGUGAGGGACAGAUGAGGGACAGGUGAAAGACAGGUGAAGGACAGGUGAGGGACAGGUGAAAGACAGGUGAAGGACAGGUGAGGGAUAGGUGAGGGACAGGUGAAAGACAGGUGAAGGACAGGUGAGGGACAGGUGAGGGAUAGGUGAGGGACAGGUGAAAGACAGGUGAAGGACAGGUGAGGGACAGGUGAAAGACAGGUGAAGGACAGGUGAGGGAUAGGUGAGGGACAGGUGAAAGACAGGUGAAGGACAGGUGAGGGACAGGUGAGGGAUAGGUGAGGGACAGGUGAAAGACAGGUGAAGGACAGGUGAGGGACAGGUGAAGGACAGGUGAGGGACAGGUGAGGGACAGGUGAAAGACAGGUGAAGGACAGGUGAGGGACAGGUGAGGGACAGUUGAGGGACAGGUGAGGGACAGUUGAGGGACAGGUGAGGGACAGGUGAAGGACAGGUAACAGUCAUUAUAUUCCAGCAUUGAAUCAAGAUAAUUAUCGACUUAUUGAUCAACAUUCAUUAAUUAAUCAACCAAUCACAGCAGCUCUGACAUCACUGAUUUCACACCUGCGUACUUCCUGUUUAAAAACUAAAGCAUCUGCAGUAAUACCACGUUAAAUACUGUGUACUUUUACUUCCACUACUACUACAUCAUACAUUUGAACAGUUUGUUGGAGUCACAUCACAUGUUCAAAGUUUCUCUGCAGCAUCAUGUGGAAAAACAUCACGUUAACCAGUCAUACAUGUACACAUGUAAAUCCAUCAUGUCAUACAUGCACAUAAGUUUCCCUGAUGAGGGAUCAGUAAAGAAGAUCUCUUUGGUUAAAGUAUCUGCAGUAGUAUUACUUUAAAUAUUGUGUACUUUUACUACUUUAAAUACCGUGUACUUUACUGCUGUCUCCUCAUUGACACUCUCAGCUGGAACUAUUGAUUAGUGAUUGAUUAUUGAUUACAUGGAAACAGAGUUAUUGAUUAAACUUAUAGAGGAACCAGCAGAAGCAGAUCAGUUGAGGACAGAACCUCAGACCGUUCAGAGAGAGUUAGUUUAGCUUCAGAACCCGGUGUAGUUCAUUAGAACCCGGUGUAGUCCGGUGGAACCCCGUAUAGUCCGGUAGAACCCGGUAUAGUUCAUUGCAACCCGGUGUAGUCCGGUAGAACACGGUAGAACGCAGCAGAACUCACCGAUCAUCUGUUUUCGUCCUUCAUGUGCUCAGACUGCGCAUGCGUGCCGUGGUGUGUUCUGGGAGCUGUGGUCCCACUGAGGGGUCGAUGCGUCGUGACGUUGGCCGGCUGAACUACACAGUGGAGUGACGUCACGGAAAGGCCCCGGAAGUACAGGUUGUCGUUCUUUUCCGCUGGAAGAACCGGAGCCGAGUUGCUCCGAGUCUCUCCGAACCGUCAGCCCGGUCUGAGAUGAGUCCACAGCACCGGAACCGGCCCGGUGAGCCUGCUACAGAGCACACCAGCAGAGAUAGUUCAGCUUCAGACUCUGGAGGACUGAAGACAUGAAGGAGAGGAACAGAUGGAGAGCUUCAUAUGAACACCAUGACGAUGAGAUCCUGUUUCCUAGGAAGGUAACAACUGAUCACACUGGAACUGUUAAUGAAGGCACGUUUAAGGUGGAAACCAGAAUAAUCCUUCUAUGAGAUGCCACCAGUAGCUGCAUCACAGCAAACAGGAACAGAUGGACAGGUAGAGAACAGGAAGAGGUUCUAGCAGGUUCUCUUACAGGGUGCAGCUCCUGGAGAUCGGAUGGAUCGUGUUCCAGAGAUCUGGACGUCUCUGAGCACCACCUGAUAGGAGAACUGAGUCUAAACCACCACCUUUAGCCAAUUCACUAUUUAACCCGCUUGAUGCACUCAUUUACAGGCAAAUAUUGUUUUCUUGUCUGAAAAAAAUCAAAAAAUUCCAAAAAAAAAUUCUACAAAACUCUACAAAAAUUCUACAAAAAUUCCAAUAAUUCCUUAAAAAUUUCAGUUAAAAAAAACAACUUUGGCAAGAGAAUUCUUGUGAAUAUUUUCAAAAAAUGAGUAAAAAUCUUCCAAAAAAAUCCUAAAACUAUCUAAAGUGAUUCCAUAUAUAUCAGUAAAAAUUUCUUUAAGAACAUUCACAUAAAAAUCA